rnacentral:rRNA from 2 species
GAGUGUAAUUUUACCUGCACUAAUACACUAAAUCCCAUCAAAACUUCACGGUUAAGUAUGCUUAGAUGAGAGUUGUACUAAAUUGGGUGACCACUUGAAAAUUUAUUGUGUUACACUCU